rnacentral:rRNA from 1 species
AUUGAACGCUGGCGGAAUGCUUUACACAUGCAAGUCGAACGGCGGCACGGACUUCGGUCUGGCGGCGAGUGGCGAACGGGUGAGUAAUAUAUCGGAACGUGCCCAGUCGUGGGGGAUAACGUAGUGAAAAUUACGCUAAUACCGCAUACGAUCUAUGGAUGAAAGCGGGGGAUCGCAAGACCUCGCGCGAUUGGAGCGGCCGAUAUCAGAUUAGGUAGUUGGUGAGGUAAAGGCUUACCAAGCCGACGAUCUGUAGCUGGUCUGAGAGGACGACCAGCCACACUGGAACUGAGACACGGGCCAGACUCCUACUGGAGGCAGCAGUGGGGAAUUUUGGACAAUGGGCGCAAGUCUGAUCCAGCCAUUCCGCGUGCAGGACGAAGGCCUUCGGGUUGUAAACUGCUUUUGUACAGAACGAAAAGGUCUCGAUUAAUACUAGGGGCUCAUGACGGUACUGUAAGAAUAAGCACCGGCUAACUACGUGCCAGCAGCCGCCGUAA